rnacentral:rRNA from 1 species
CCUACGGGAGGCAGCAGUGAGGAAUAUUGGUCAAUGGACGCAAGUCUGAACCAGCCAUGCCGCGUGCAGGAUGACGGCUCUAUGAGUUGUAAACUGCUUUUGUACGAGGGUAAACGCCGAUACGUGUAUCGGGUUGAAAGUAUCGUACGAAUAAGGAUCGGCUAACUCCGUGCCAGCAGCCGCGGUAAUACGGAGGAUCCGAGCGUUAUCCGGAUUUAUUGGGUUUAAAGGGUGCGUAGGCGGUUUGAUAAGUUAGAGGUGAAAUGGCGGGGCUCAACCCCGAAACUGCCUCUGAUACUGUUAGACUAGAGAAUAGUUGCGGUAGGCGGAAUGUAUGGUGUAGCGGUGAAAUGCUUAGAGAUCAGACAGAACACCGAUUGCGAAGGCAGCUUACCAAACUAUAUCUGACGUUGAGGCACGAAAGCGUGGGGAGCAAACAGGAUUAGAUACCCUUGUAGUC